rnacentral:lncRNA from 1 species
CCAGACUCAAAGCAGAAAACAGGUGUAUUCUGAGGAAUCUCCCUUGAGCAUUCUCUCAAGUUCAUUGCUUGGCAACACCUUGGGAAUUGAAUAUCUGCAGUAGUGUCCUCGCCUUCAUCUACCUCACAGCAUUUCAAUGCAGUUCACUUGCUGCACUAGGUAAGAUUCCUCCCUCACUUAUUUCCCUCUUUGUUCAGCCUUUGAAUGGACCUAUAAUUCAAGAAAUUGACAGGGAGCAUGAAAGGAUUGGA